rnacentral:rRNA from 1 species
UACAGAGGGUGCGAGCGUUAAUCGGAUUUACUGGGCGUAAAGCGUGUGUAGGUGGCUUCCUAAGUCGGUUGUGAAAUCCCUGGGCUCAACCUGGGAAUUGCAGUCGAUACUGGGAAGCUCGAGUUCGGUAGAGGACGGCGGAAUUCCCGGUGUAGCGGUGAAAUGCGUAGAUAUCCGGAGGAACACCGGUGGCGAAGGCGGCUUCCUGGACCGACACUGACGCUGAGGCGCGAAAGCUAGGGGAGCAAACGGG